rnacentral:rRNA from 1 species
UAGGGAAUCUUCCGCAAUGGACGCAAGUCUGACGGAGCAACGCCGCGUGAGUGAAGAAGGAUUUAGGUUCGUAAAACUUUGUUGUUAGAGAAGAACAGCGCAUAGAGUAACUGUUAUGCGUGUGACGGUAUCUAACCAGAAAGCCACGGCUAACUACGUGCCAGCAGCCGCGGUAAUACGUAGGUGGCAAGCGUUGUCCGGAUUUAUUGGGCGUAAAGCGAGCGCAGGCGGUCAAUUAAGUCUGAUGUGAAAGCCCCCGGCUCAACCGGGGAGGGUCAUUUGGAGCUGGUUGACUUGAGUGCAGGAGGGGGGAGUGGAAUUCCAUGUGUAACGGUGAAAUGCGUAGGUAUAUGGAGGAACAACAGUGGCGAAGGCGACUCUCUGGUAUGUAACUGACGCUGGGGCUGGAAAGCGUGGGUAGCAAACAAG